CCCUGGCAGUCAGAGGCGAUGAAGGACGUGCUAAUCUGCGAAAAGCGUCGGUAAGGUGAUAUGAACCGUUAUAACCGGCGAUGUCCGAAUGGGGAAACCCAGUGCAAUUCGUUGCACUAUCGUUAACUGAAUACAUAGGUUAACGAGGCGAACCGGGGGAACUGAAACAUCUAAGUACCCCGAGGAAAAGAAAUCAACCGAGAUUCCCCCAGUAGCGGCGAGCGAACGGGGAGCAGCCCAGAGUCUGAAUCAGCUUGUGUGUUAGUGGAACGGUCUGGAAAGUCCGACGGUACAGGGU
rnacentral:rRNA from 1 species